GGCGGCAUAGCUCAGACGGCUAGAGCAUACGGUUCAUACCCGUAGUGUCGCUGGUUCGAUUCCAGCUGCCGCUACCA
rnacentral:tRNA from 1 species